AAUUUAUUCUUUCCCAUAUAAAGUGUUCAAACGUUGAACCGGAACCUAAUGAGUAAACAAAUUUGUUUACCUGUUGGAUGAUAUGAAUGACUUAAAAAGAUAAAAAUUGUAAGCGUUGUUAGGAGUAAAAUUGGGUGGAGGGUCCAGAAGAUGAUGGGCGGUGUUGGUGAAGUUUGGAGUUUGUGUUGUGACAAUGAAUUGAGAAUUGAUAGGGUAUGCGCAUGGAGAUGGUGCAAAUAAGAUUGAUUCAUGAUUUCAUUAUAAAUAAAGCAUAAUUUAAGAUGCCCCCAAAAUUGAACAUCCAAAGCAAAGAAUAUCAGGAAGUUUAAAGCGCCUGGAUUCUGGUUUGCUCCUCUGCUUCAGUUUGGCAUCAAAUUCCGUGCGCCACAACGAUUUCAUUACCUAAUCCAAUCCCAAUCUUCCACCUCACUGCAACGCCAUUUUCAUCGUCCUCAUGACUCCGGCUUUGUCCUCCUCCUCCUCCUCCGCCGCCGCCUCCCAGCGGCUUAUCCGCUGCACUGCUUCGCUGUGGCGAACUCACGCGCCCCACCGCUCUCCCUCGAUGUCUCCUCCGCCGAGGAAGCUGAAACUAAUGGCGGAGAUAAUGGUCAAGGCUAAGUAUGCGGUUCUCGAACGGGACGAUUACGACGACGUCAGGUGUGAGAAAUGUCUCUCCGGCGACCGGGACGAUGAGCUGCUGUUGUGUGACAAAUGCGACAAGGGAUUUCAUAUGAAAUGUGUGAGUCCGAUCGUUGCUAGGGUCCCGAUUGGAUCCUGGCUUUGCCCCAAAUGCUGUGGCCAAAAAAGAGUAAGAAGUUUUUCUCAGAAGAAGAUUAUCGAUUUUUUCCGAAUUCAGAAAUGUAAAGACGCAGAAUCUCUAUAUCUAUCCGCUCAAGCUAUAAAGCAUAGGAGACGACUACGGUCAUUGGUGUGGCAGAAGAAAAGGAGAAGAUUACUAUCAUUUCUUCCAAGUGAAGAUCCUGAUCGCAGAUUGAAACAGAUGGGUUCACUUGCUGCAGCUUUAACAACAUUGCAAAUGGAGUUCAGUGAUGAUCUGACAUAUUUGCCGGGCAUGGCUUCAAGAUCUGCUAACCAGGCAGAGCUUGAAGAUGGUGGAAUGCAGGUUCUUUCCAAAGAGGAUAUUGAGACUUUUGAACUCUGCAGAACCAUGAGCAGAAGAGGCGAAUGUGCUCCCCUUUUGGUAGUUUUUGAUUCCUGUGAAGGUUUUACUGUACAAGCCGAUGAUCAAAUUAAGGAUAUGACUUUUAUUGCUGAAUAUACUGGUGAUGUCGAUUAUCUUACAAACCGCGAACACGAUGAUUGUGAUAGUAUGAUGACCCUUCUUUCAGCCAAACAUCCAUCUAGAAGUCUUGUCAUCUGCCCUGACACACAUGGAAACAUUGCUCGCUUCAUCAAUGGAAUAAAUAAUCAUACUCCAGAAGGUAAGAAGAAACAGAACUGUAAAUGUGUGAGAUACAAUGUUAAGGGCGAAUGCCGUGUGAUUUUGGUUGCGAUUCGGGAUAUUGCUAAAGGGGAGAGGCUUUAUUAUGACUACAACGGAUAUGAGUAUGAAUACCCCACCCAUCAUUUUCUCUGAGAAUUUCUUAGGAUAAGUCUAACAACUUUGGGAUCUGAUUUGUGUGUCCCAUACAGUUUUUUCACCAUUUUUCCUUCUUCUUCUGCUGAAUCUUGUUGCAAAGUCAACAGUUUUUGCUGAUUCUACCAAAGUAAUUUGUAUUGCAUACCCUCGGCCGAGGUCGAGGCUCGGACCAACCAGGCCAGGGAGGGGGUGGGGGAAGUUUUGGUAGUGAAGGAUGAAGUUGUGUUAGGAUCUCGUUCGUUUGUUGCGAAAUGAUAUACGAAACCAACAAGUUGGAAGAAUAUAUAAGUGAAGAUUGAAAACCAUUAAGUUCGAAAUGGUUGUCUUGUUCGUAUGGUAUGUUUGAGCCUGGUCUUGGAAGGAGACUAUUAUUACAUCGCUAAAGAGAGUUCAGACGAGAGGCGAAAGAGUUGCACCAAAGAAACAACAAAGGGAGUUCCCUUUGUUUGAAGAAACCUUCAUUCAAAAUGGGGGACCAAAGGCUUGCGCCUAAGAAAAAACAUCUUUUGGCCUUGUUGGUUAUGAAGCUUCUAAAUGUUUCAUUUUCACCCCUUAUCCCUCGAUUAAUUCUCUUUUGGGAUUUUAUUUUAGCUGAAAUUACAUAUUUACCACAAUAUUUUGUUUCAACAUUAUCAUGAAUGAGCAAGCCCAAUUGAAA